rnacentral:rRNA from 1 species
AGCCGCGGUAAUUCCAGCUCCAAUAGCGUAUAUUAAAGUUGUUGUGGUUAAAAAGCUCGUAGUUGGAUCUCGGCGGACUGAGGGCGGUUUGCUUGCUAGUAUUACUGCCCUAUAGUCCGUAGUUUUGCCAGAGGUUUCGGGGUGCUCUUAAUCGAGUGUCCCGGGAUGCUGGCAGGUUUACUUUGAAAAAAUUAGAGUGCUCAAAGCAGGCUAUUACGCCUGAAUAUUCGUGCAUGGAAUAAUAGAAUAGGAAGUCGUUUCUAUUUUGUUGGUUUUCGGAAAUCGACUCAAUGAUUAAUAGGGACAGUCGGGGGCAUUUGUAUUCAAACGACAGAGGUGAAAUUCUUGGACCGUUUGAAGACAAACUACUGCGAAAGCAUUUGCCAAGAAUGUUUUCAUUAAUCAAGAACGAAAGUUAAAGGUUCGAAGGCGAUUAGAUACCGCCUUAGUUUUAACCAUAAACGAUGCCAGCUAGCGAUCUGCGGACGUUUUUUUUGUAGACUCCGCAGGAAGCUUCCGGGAAACCAAAGCAUUUGGGUUCCAGGGGAAGUAUGGUUGCAAAGCUGAAACUUAAAGGAAUUGACGGAAGGGCACCACCAGGAGUGGAGCCUGUGGCUUAAUUUGACUCAACACGGGAAAUCUCACCAGGCCCGGACACUGGAAGGAUUGACAGAUUGAUAGCUCUUUCUUGAUUCGGUGGGUGGUGGUGCAUGGCCGUUCUUAGUUGGUGGAGUGAUUUGUCUGGUUAAUUCCGAUAACGAACGAGACUCUGUCCUGCUAAAUAGUGUCUGCUUCUCUUUUGAGCAGACAAUUCUUCUUAGAGGGACUGGCGACUCUUAGUCGCACGAGAUUGAGCAAUAACAGGUCUGUGA